GGAGUUGAGGGAGAUCUGGCUGCAACAUCUGUCACCCCAUUGAUUGCUUCGGCUGAUCUGGCUGGCUAGGCAGAUGUCCCUUACUCUGUCACUGCUUCAUAUGCAUCCCUCCUGAAGCUUCUGUAUCAGUCAAAGAGGACAACCUUCCUUGAUUGAGGAGAACCAUUCUUCAGUCAAGGGUAUAGCUCUACUCCUCUGCCUAGAACCUCCAAACAAGCCCUCAAGGAACUAAUAUCCAGAAUAUGUGGAGAACUCUUAUAACUCAAAGAGUAAAAAUAUGAGGGGCUGGGGUUGUGGCUCAGUGGCAGAGCAC
ensembl:misc_RNA 7SK 7SK RNA